rnacentral:rRNA from 1 species
GAUGAACGCUGGCGGCGUGCCUAAUACAUGCAAGUCGAGCGAACAGACGAGGAGCUUGCUCCUUUGACGUUAGCGGCGGACGGGUGAGUAACACGUGGGUAACCUACCUAUAAGACUGGGAUAACUUCGGGAAACCGGAGCUAAUACCGGACAAUAUUUCGAACCGCAUGGUUCGAUAGUGAAAGAUGGCUUUGCUAUCACUUAUAGAUGGACCUGCGCCGUAUUAGCUAGUUGGUAAGGUAACGGCUUACCAAGGCAACGAUACGUAGCCGACCUGAGAGGGUGAUCGGCCACACUGGAACUGAGACACGGUCCAGACUCCUACGGGAGGCAGCAGUAGGGAAUCUUCCGCAAUGGGCGAAAGCCUGACGGAGCAACGCCGCGUGAGUGAUGAAGGUCUUCGGAUCGUAAAACUCUGUUAUUAGGGAAGAACAAACGUGUAAGUAACUGUGCACGUCUUGACGGUACCUAAUCAGAAAGCCACGGCUAACUACGUG